GAGAAUGUUCAGCGGUUACCCGGCAUGCUUGUGCGAUGUUUAAGUAGUUCUAAGAUGGCGACCGUGCAUUUGAGAAUCGGAGAUUUGGUUUGGUACCAUUCCACAGCUCCCAUAGGAAUCCAUGGAAGGAUUUACUUACCUCAUUUUUUACUUUCAUUGCCGGGGACUCCUGCCUGCUUCGUUUGUAUGUAUGUGGAACAAGGCCGUCUUCAAGAUCAAGGAUCGACUUAAACGUCUCAGUGUCUGUUUCAUAAUCCUACAAAAUAGCAGACAAUUAAAGCAAAUAGCAGACAUUCAAAUAUUGUAAGUGUAUCUUGUAAGUAAUGUGUAUGAAUAGUUUUAAUUGCAUUACCUUGACUGCUUUCUGGUAGAGUUGAGAAUUUCUUGACACACUUUUUAAAUCAGACUCCUUUCUUGCAAGCUCAGACAACAGGUUCUGAGAAAGGAAAACAGAAAUGGUGAGAAAAACAAUCUGCCGUGAUCUAUGCUGAAAAUGGAAGAUAUGUGAUGCUAAACAUAUAAUAAUAAUAUAAUAGUAAUGAUAAUAAUUGCAGGAGGAGAUGGUAUCAAAAGCAGCAGGCAUCUCAUGUUCUUGAAAUGUAUGAACUGUUGAGGAUACUAUACGGUUGUAAUGUAUGUCAAAUUCUGCUUCAUAAAUGGCAGUUAAAGCA